AUGNAGUUGCGCGUCUUCUAGCUAUGUUGAGGACGCAGCGUACGGCUUCAGUAACAUGUGGCUAACUUGCCCUCGGGACUGGAAUAACUCCGGGAAACUGGGGGUAAUUCUUGACAGGUAGAGAGGCCUGGAAUGGUUCUCUGUUAAAAAGAGGUCAAACACAUGCUGUUUGAUCUUGCCCGAGGAUAGGGCCGCACCCGAUCAGGUUGCUGGUGAGGUAAUGGCUCACCACCCCUAUNAUAAAAUACGNGCCGUGAGAGCNCCNANCCCGGAAANNGNCCCU
rnacentral:rRNA from 1 species